CGGUGUUGGACCGGGUCUCAAGACGUCGGAAAGGAUGGCACAAUCAAGUGACCGGUUUAUUAACUCGGUUGUUCACUACAAGAGCGUUGCUAACCUCGUCGCCGUACCGCGUGUUAGUGGUUAUUAAUUGUUUAAUCCAUUGUUCUUUCAACGUACAAUUGCAAAAACAAUAAAUGUAUUACAUGUACUUUGAAAAACAAUG
rnacentral:lncRNA from 1 species